AGUGCAUCCAUGGAUACAUUCUUAACCAAUUAUUUCAUCAAAUAAUUUUUAGCAAUUAGGAUUUACCUCGGGCAUCUCUUCAGCAAACAUGUGUUAUCUUUACUGAAAAUCCUGGUUAAGUCCAACCAUUAAAAUGACAACACCAAAUGCAUCUAGCAAAUGAAUGCCCAAGGCCGAGUGUGGCUCGACCAACCUAACCAUUUAUCUGAAGGGCAUAAUAAGGUAGUCAUAUGAUGAAUGAUAAUUUCAAUACCCAAUAGACACCAAGCAUAUGGUGCCUUCGAUGCCUAUUUAGAAUAUUGGACGUAUUAUCAUGCAC
rnacentral:lncRNA from 1 species